AGAGCUUAAUGAUUUAUUUAUAACAGUGAAAAUUAAAACGAACCACAAAAAAAUAAAGUAAUAAUGAUCAGGCACAUUUUGGCAUAGUCCUUUGAUUGACUAUUGUGUAGUUAUUACAAACGUAAUUAUGAUAAUUUUAUCAACUUGGAAAAUAGAUACACUGUUAAGGGGGAAAGCAAAAUGCAAAAUGUAGGUGUGGCCCCAAAGAACCACACCAGAUGUAUCCAGAUUUCAUAAAGUCCCCUCCACACAGACUCUGGGUUUGGCCAUGUGACUUGCUUUGGACAAUGGGACAUUGGCAAAUGAUGAGUCAGAUUGAAGCUUGAAAACCGUGUGCACAGAGGGGUCUUAACCUUUCUCUCUUGCUGCUUUUGCAACCCUACUACCCAGGUAACAUGGUGGAAAUAUAUCACCCAAGCCCACAGCCAGCUGCCAACAUACGAAGGAGGCCAUAUUAUACCACCCAGCCCCAGCUGAACCACCAGAAGACUGCAGUGGCAUAAAUGGCCCUAGUUAACUCUAAGAAGAAAUGCCCAGUUGAUUCCUACCCAACUUGAUGACUCACAGAAUUGCAAGCAGAGACAGCCAGCGAGAGAGGGAACACAGCAGGGGGAGUGGGAGAGGAAGAAGCAGGCUCCCAGCGGAGGAGCCUGAUGCGGGGCUCGACCCCAAAACGCUGGGAUCACGCCCUGAGCCGAAGGCAGCCGCUUAACGACUGAGCCACCCAGGCGCUCCAUGAUUCUACAUAACUUGACCUGACUCCAGCUAUCACCAGAGACCAACAUAUUCUAGAGAAAAAGUUAUUUAAAUAAUAACCACAAAAAUAAGCACACAAGUGAGUACAGACAACAUUUCGGAAAUAGUGGUGCUGGUUGUACAACAUUGUGGUUUUACUUAGUGUCAUUGUAUUUGUGUAUUUUAAAAUGGUUAAGGGGAGCCGGGCUGGCUCAGUCGGUAGACAACAUGACUCUUGAUCUCAGGGUUGUGAGUCCGAGCCCCAACCUUACGUGAACCUUAAUGAAAUA
rnacentral:lncRNA from 1 species